UACGUAGGGUGCAAGCGUUGUCCGGAAUUAUUGGGUGUAAAGAGCUCGUAGGCGGUCCGUCACGUCGGCUGUGAAAACCUGGGGCUCAACCCCGGGCCUGCAGCCGAUACGGGCGGACUAGAAUUCGGUAGGGGAGACUGGAAUUCCUGGUGUAGCGGUGAAAUGCGCAGAUAUCAGGAGGAACACCGGUGGCGAAGGCGGGUCUCUGGGCCGAUAUUGACGCUGAGGAGCGAAAGCGUGGGGAGCGAACAGG
rnacentral:rRNA from 1 species